GCUAAGCGUGGUGGUGCACGCCUGUAAUCCCAGCAGCUCAGGAGGCUGAGGCAGGAGGAUUGCUAGUUCAAAGCCAACCUCAAAGCCAGCCUCAGCAACAGCGUAAACAACUCAGUGAGACCCUGUCUCUA
rnacentral:sRNA from 1 species